rnacentral:tRNA from 6 species
GCCGGGAUGGCGGAACUGGUAGACGCACAGGACUUAAAAUCCUGAGAACGUAUGUUCGUGCGGGUUCGAUUCCCGCUCCCGGUACCA